AUUUAUUUUUAUUGUGUAAACAUUUUCUCGAUUCCAAUCUUGCUCUAUAGUUAACAUCCGCUUUGGCAGGGCCAUUCUUGGCAUGGAAGAGUGCGAGCGGGCCGGAGACUUCCUGCCGGAGAAGAGAGUCCUCUGGCAUUAUCCUUGCAAUCAGUGCAACUGUAAAUCACACAAACACUCACUGUGCGUACAUGUGUCUAUCUGUAGAGGGGCAUCCAAGCGAGAGCUAUUAGAAUAGUUGACAUACACAAACGGAAACCGAGAAACACAACUAAAAAUGGCAUCGGAAAAUGAUGCUCGCCCGGCUCGCCCGGCUUGCCCGACUUGGGCCCGACUGCCUGAAGCAUCCUUUUGUAUUAUGGAUGUGGCAGUAACACGCUAGCAAACAGUGCACACGCAGGACACACAUUUUCACAGUGCCCCUCACCAAGUUUCCUGCUGCUCCGCAGGACUCGGUGUCGUCCGCUUCGUCGCCGUACUGACGGAUAUUCCGGUGCUUGUGUCAAACGCUUGUCAUUUUAUUCCUCCAACACCCCUUGACCGCCCACUCCCACUCCCACUCGCACCCCACUCGCACACAUUGUCCCCUUUUAUCGGCUUAAAAUGCGAAAAUUGCAAAUAAAUACGCUAAAGUUUUUCUAAGUCCUCGCUGGCGUGGAGAGCUUCUCCGCCUUGCCUGGCUCUUGCUCUGGCUGCUAAAUUA